ensembl:snRNA U6 U6 spliceosomal RNA
GAGACUAAAACUGGAAAAAUACAGAGAAGAUUAACAUGGCCCCUAACCAAGAAAGACAUGCAAAUUCACAAAGCAUUCUAUAAUUUU